rnacentral:rRNA from 1 species
GAUGAACGCUGGCGGCGUGCCUAAUACAUGCAAGUCGAGCGAACAGACGAGGAGCUUGCUCCUCUGACGUUAGCGGCGGACGGGUGAGUAACACGUGGAUCACCUACCUAUAAGACUGGGAUAACUUCGGGAAACCGGAGCUACUACCGGAUAAUAUAUUGAACCGCAUGGUUCAAUAGUUAAAGACGCUUUUGCUUUUACUUAUAGAUGGAUCCGCGCCGUAUUAGCUAGUUGGUAAGGUAACGGCUUACCAAGGCAACGAUGCGUAGCCGACCUGAGAGGGUGAUCGGCCACACUGGAACUGAGACACGGUCCAGACUCCUACGGGAGGCAGCAGUAGGGAAUCUUCCGCAAUGGGCGAAAGCUUGACGGAGCAACGCCGCGUGAGUGAUGAAGGUCUUCGGAUCGUAAAACUCUGUUAUUAGGGAAGAACAAAUGUGUAAGUAACUAUGCACGUCUUGACGGUACCUAAUCAGAAAGCCACGGCUAACUACGUG